AAUUGUGCAACAUCAGCAGCAAUAUCAAGUCAUCAGAUGGGCACCCAGAGCAAAAGACCGAACCUUUAGCCCGGGACAGCCAGUUUUGGCUCGGGUUUAUACUUCCAGAGCGAAAUGGGUCCCAGCCACAAUCAUCACUCAAACAGGCUGGGCUAUCCCCUAAUAAUCUAACUCAGUUGCCAUAGCAACACCUUCCAGUCCUAUGAUUCUAUGAUUUAAAUGAAGAGGUCCAUUAUCUAAUGCAAGAAGAUAGCUUCUUCAGACAGUUCAUCAAUGCACUCCAGUACAACACUAUUGAAAUCUUUAGUCAGCUGUCAUUUUUUAUUUUUGUUUUUUUAAAUGAUGGCAGUGAAGAAACAGUGUUAUAUGGAAUGGGAGUGUCAUGUAUUACAUAAUAAACCAAAACACAGGAAAAGUUAUGAAAUAUAUAGAAAUGUAACGAAGUGCUAAUAAUCCAUUCACUGUGACAUCAUAUGUUUUGGUUCCAUACACAAACCAACACUCUGUAUGCUGUACAAAGAAGCAUAGUCAUUCCCAUAGACAAAUAAAUAAAUGAGAGGGAAGGAAGAGACAGUGGCAAACUUAAAAUGAGAAGUCCAGCCAGAGCUAAGUUUAGUAAGCAAUCAAGUAACAAGAGAUACUGAAGACAGUGCACUCCAGCCAAGAUCCUCAGGAAAGCUGGCACUGAACAUGGAGAAUCAGCCAACAGUGCUCUUUCAGCCCAGCUUGAUGCCUUCCAAACCUGCAGCAUGUUUACAGGCCUCGUUUUCCAGAAAGCAUGAGCUAUCAGUUGUGUGAGGAGAGCCCAUCAUUCUGAGCUGGAUGUGUUUGUCCUUAUCAUAAGAGGAGCAGUUUCAAAGAACAGAACUAUCUUAUGGACAUUUUGGGGAAGAGUCCAUCAAAUCAAGGACUGACUAAUAAUAUGAUGGAGACAAAAAAUCAUGGUGAGCUCAUCUAACACUGGUCAGAACUAUUCAAAAUAGCUGACAACACUAGGUGUUGGCUGAAGUUUUGGAAUGACAAGCUAUGAUGAUGAUAGAUAUUCUGUUAUCUGAAGCUCUGACUUCCUUAGCUGACCAACCAGCACUUUGCCAGAUGCUUGCUGAAAAUCCCAAAAGCAUAUGGGAGCACCUUGCACUACUACCAGUCAAUACCUACCUGAGUCUCAGUACUCCCUGAGGAGUGGGUGCCUUUUGAAGAUGUGGAAGUAAACAUCUAAAACCACUCUUGCUGGAGGAAAGUAGAGAACAUAAAUUAUCAUACAGAAUUUUAUUUUUCAGGUUCACUAGCUUUGCUUUUGGAGCGCUAGAAUAGCAUCAAGAUCCAUCUCCCUUCUUGCCCUCCUCCUAACUUUUGUGAGAUAAGGAAAUAACAGGAAAAAAUUGUUCUGUAAAAAUCAUCCAGGUGGUUUGUCUCCAAAUUCCUUUCCUGCUCUGUUCUAAAGAGGAAUUUGAGCAUUUUUGGAAAGAGCAAGGUUCACCAAGGCAGGGGCAGUGCCUGCCAUGUUGACUGGCAUAGGAUAUUUUGCUGACAUUGUAUGCCGCCUAAGUUCAUAGUGUUUCUCUCAGUCUGUCAUCUUGUAUGGCCUACAGACCUGACAAGAAAGAUACUGCAACCUACAAUCAGCUACUCUAUCUUCUAAUACUGAAUUUCAAAAGAAAAUGUCAAGAAAUAUGGAGAAAAAAUAACAAAAACUUUGAACAUACCUGGAGGGAUGGUCUGUCACCCAUUGUUCCCAGUGGAAAGGCAAGAAAAAAGGUUGGACACCAGAGUGAACAGAAACUGCUAUAGUGAUGAGUCCUUAUGCACACCAUGCCAGAGAAGGGGCUUCUUCUGCACACCAUGGAAGGCCAGUCACAAUCUGGCCCUGAGGUUUUGGGUAAAAAAAUUCUGAGAGGCUCUGAGCACCAAUGAAUAACUUCCAAUGGGAGCUGUAGAUGCUUGUCUUUUUUCAGGAUUUGAUCCUGGGUUGUCACUUAUUUGCUAUAAAUGCUAGAACUCGAGUUACUUCAUAUCCACUUUGAAUGUUUUAUCUUAUUUGUUAAAUUAGGAUAGCAGUUUAAAUGCUUUGAAAAAGGGUAAUAUUUAAAUCCUUUAAUUAGAAAAUGGAGUUCAUCUUACAUCUCUCAAUACUGCAGUAGGAAACUGAAAAACAUGGUGCUCACUUUAUGCUUUACCAACAGCUACUCAGUAAAAGUAUAAUUCAUAACAGAUAGAGACAAAUCAUCUGAUGGCAGAGGUUAAAAGAAACCUGUUACUAUGACAACAGAUAGGGUCAGAUAACAAAAUGAACAGCCACUUUUGAUCUUCAAAAAAUUCUUUUUCCUUUGCUCUCUCCUCUGUUAUCUGGACCACUCCAUCAAACACCUAGCAGAUAACAGAGUUGAAAACCCAAUCGACCUUCAAGGAAGACUAGACAAGUUGGAAAGUCUAUGGAAAGGUUACUAUUACAGUGGAAGUGCUUGUCAUGAUAUUUUCUCUGUGUGUGUGCAUGUGUAUGUGUAUUUUACUAAAGUAACAAGAUUCUGUUCAAAAGGUUUUA